AUUAUGUUUUAUUUAAGAUUAAAGAUUGAUCCUGUCUUUUUGUUAAUUAGUUUUUAGAUAAUAUUAUAUAUAAGUUUUUGCGAGUUAGUUUAUUAUCUUAAUGAUAAUUUUUAUUAUUUGUAGUUUUUAAUUUUGAGUAUUAUAUAAUUAUAGACUCAGUUAAUUUAUGAAGAAUUGUUUAAGGUUGUGCCAGCAUACGCGGUUAUACAACCAAUUCAAGUUAAUUUUUUUGAUUAUUAUUUAUUUUUUUUGUUGGGGAUUAAUUUUAUUUUAUAAGGUGGAAUUUUUAAUUUAAAUUAUAUU
rnacentral:rRNA from 1 species